rnacentral:rRNA from 1 species
UACGGAGGGUGCAAGCGUUAUCCGGAUUCACUGGGUUUAAAGGGUGUGUAGGCGGGUAUUUAAGUCAGUGGUGAAAUCUCCAGGCUCAACCUGGAAACUGCCAUUGAUACUAUUUAUCUUGAAUUCUGUUGAGGUGGGCGGAAUACAUCAUGUAGCGGUGAAAUGCUUAGAUAUGAUGUAGAACACCGAUUGCGAAGGCAGCUCACUAAGCAGCGAUUGACGCUGAGGCACGAAAGCGUGGGGAGCAAACAGG